GGGGGGGGGGGGGGGGGGGGUGGGGGGGGGGGGGGCGGGCGGGGGGGCGCGGCUUUUGGGGGGGGCUCGGGUGGCGGCGGGGGGAGGAACGCGUGAGUCACCUGCGCUUGCCUUUGGGAUAACUUAAGUGACAUGGGGCUAAUCCCUGGUAGUCGCCGCUGGUGCCUGGUGGGGGUUUGAAAGUUUCGGCGGUGGGGGAUUGACUCGCGGCUUAUCAGCAUGUUUGUGGGGCAGUGGCUUACCAAGGCUUUGACGGUUAGCCGGCCUGAGAGGGUGACCGGCCACAUGGGGACUGAGAUACGGCCCAGACUCCUACGGGAGGCAGCAGUGGGGAAUAUUGCACAAUGGGCGGAAGCCUGAUGCAGCAACGCCGCGUGCGGGAUGACGGCCUUCGGGUUGUAAACCGCUUUCGCCUGUGACGAAGCGUGAGUGACGGUAAUGGGUAAAGAAGCACCGGCUAACUACGUG
rnacentral:rRNA from 1 species